rfam:Salmo salar isolate Sally breed double haploid chromosome ssa20, whole genome shotgun sequence.
UUCCCUUUGGCUCAGUUGGUAGAGCAUGGUGUUUGCAAUGCCAGGGUUGGGGGUUUGAUUCCCAUGGGGGG